rnacentral:rRNA from 1 species
CACGUAGGGGCCGAGCGUUGUCCGGAGUUACUGGGCGUAAAGGGCGCGCAGGCGGUCACGCGCAUCAUGGGUGAAAGCCCCGCGCUCAACGCGGGAGGGUCCUGUGAGAUGGCGUGACUGGAGGCAGGGCGAGGCCGGUGGAAUUCCGGGUGUAGUGGUGAAAUGCGUAGAGAUCCGGAGGAACACCAGUGGCGCAGGCGGCCGGCUGGACCUGUCCUGACGCUGAGGCGCGAAGGCGUGGGGAGCGAACGGG